rnacentral:rRNA from 1 species
CCAAUAGCGUAUAUUAAAGUUGUUGCAGUUAAAAAGCUCGUAGUUGAAUUUCGGGAUCAGUACGCUGGUCGUGCCUUUGGUAUGUACUGGUGUCACUGAUUCCUCCCUUCUGAAGAACCGUUAUGCCAUUUAUUUGGUGUGGCGGGGAAUCAGGACUGUUACUUUGAAAAAAUUAGAGUGUUUAAAGCAGGCUCGCGCUUGAAUACAUUAGCAUGGAAUAAUGAAAUAGUACGUUUGAUCUUAUUUUGUUGGUUUCUAGGAUCGACGUAAUGAUUAAUAGGGAUAGUUGGGGGCAUUAGUAUUCAAUUGUCAGAGGUGAAAUUCUUGGAUUUAUUGAAGACUAACUACUGCGAAAGCAUUUGCCAAGGAUGUUUUCAUUAAUCAAGAACGAAAGUUAGGGGAUCGAAGACGAUCAGAUACCGUCGUAGUCUUAACCAUAAACUAUGCCGACUAGGGAUCGGAUGAUGUUAUUUUUAAUGACUCAUUCGGCGCCUUACG